CAGACAUGCAAGUCGAACGAUUAAAGCUUCCUUCGGGAAGUGCAUAAAGUGGCGCACGGGUGAGUAACACGUAAGUAAUCUACCCUCGAGUGGGGAAUAACGUUCGGAAACGGACGCUAAUACCGCAUAAUGCAGCGGCACCGCAAGGUGGCAGUUGUUAAAGAUUUAUUGCUUGAGGAGGAGCUUGCGGCAGGUUAGCUAGUUGGUAAGGUAAUGGCUUACCAAGGCUACGAUCUGUAUCCGGUCUAAGAGGACGGUCGGACACACUGACACUGAAUAACGGGUCAGACUCCUACGGGAGGCAGCAGUCGGGAAUUUUGGGCAAUGGGGGAAACCCUGACCCAGCAACGCCGCGUGAAGGAUGAAGUAUUUCGGUAUGUAAACUUCGAAAGAAUAGGAAGAAUUAAUGACGGUACUAUUUAUAAG
rnacentral:rRNA from 1 species